GCGACAGCCCGGCCUGGCCUGUUGCCCUCCUUCACUCACAAGUUCAUAAGUAGAACCAUUGAAAUAAACGAACGCAUAAAUGUUUUCAAAAAACGCGCGCUCUCAUAUUCUCUCUCCUCUAUUUCUCCCUCAAUAACAAACUCUCCCUCCAAAGUUGAACAACACAGCGAAAAUCCAUCAACAGCAACUUUCGACGUAUUGAGAAAUCGGAAAAUCGGAUUAAGGUUGUAGCAAUGCAGCUCAGCACAAUGGCAUACUUCAGAAGGUCUCUAUGUCAAAGACUGCUGGGUUUAAGCUCUGAUUUGAACAAGAAUAGGGCAACAUGAGUAACAUCGAUGGAAUUCAGAAAGCAAAGGGAGAAUCCGCUUCUGUUGAAAGGAUUAGGUGGAACACAUUUGACUGUGUUUGGAGUUGAGGGCUAUCAUUCACUGCCAAUUUGCCACUUACUGUCCUUUCUCAAAUGAUAUUGUUCAGUGAUAAAGGAGGUACAGCUGAGUAGUUAUCAUGGAUGAAGAACAAGCUGUUCAGGGUCUUUCAAGACUUUUAACUGUCAGGAAUUUUAUAGGCGGAGACAUGGAGCCCACAAUUGAAUAAACUUAACUUUGGACCAUCUUGGAGGUUUGAAUAGAACCUAAACAAACUAGUGCAUUCAGGAGUUUUGACUGGAGAUAACACUUAAGAUAUGGAUACAGUUCAGUGGAUGAUCUAAUUGACAGAAGAUAUAUUGUCUAUUGUUUGCUGAUCCGUCUUAUGGCAGGAUUUUAAGAUUAGAAUUUUGUUGUCUUUUGUGCUUUGGAGUAGAUCAAGAAUUCUGAAUAUUAAUUUAUCUUGUCAAACUGCAGAUAUGUUAGGGACUGAAAAAGAAUACAACUAAUCUUAUUUGCUUUUGUACUCUUAAGGAUCAUGAAAGUUAUAGAAUGUUGAUCGUUGUACUUCAUUUCCAUGGAAGUGUUUUCCUCUUGCUCAAUUUUGAAAUUUGUCGUAUUUUGCAGAUACAUAACUGUUGAUUCUUCUAUUCCGUAUCAUUGUUGCUUUCAGCUCACUGAACUCAGUGAAGCUCACAG